rnacentral:siRNA from 1 species
UGUCACUGGCACACAUCCUGCUA